CUUUUUGGGGAAAUUGAAAGUCGUGCCUGCCCACUGAUGGAUUUAAAGGGCCGCGGUAUUUUGACCGUGCAAAGGUAGCAUAAUCAUUAGUCUUUUAAUUGUAGGCUGGAAUGAAUGGUUUGACGAAAUAGUUAUUGUCUCAUAAUUAAUUAUUGAAUUUUACUUUUGAGUUAAAAGGCUCAAGUAAGGAUGGGGGACGAGAAGACCCUAUAGAUCUUUAUAUUUUGAAUGUAAAUAUUUAUAUUGUUAGUUGUUUAUUUAUUUUUAAUAAGAAAUAUUUUGUUGGGGUGACGAGGGAAUAGAAAAACUUCUUUGUAAUUAACUUUAAUAAAUGGUUAUAUGAUCCUUUAAUAUGGAAUGUAGAUUAAGAUACCUUAGGGAUAACAGCGUAAUUUUGUUGGAGAGUUCUUAUUGAUAAUGAAGAUUGCGACCUCGAUGUUGGAUUAAGAAUAUUUGUUGGUGAAGAAGUUAAUAUGGUUAGUCUGUUC
rnacentral:rRNA from 1 species